AGCGUUGUCCGGAUUUAUUGGGCGUAAAGGGCUCGUAGGCGGUUUGUCGCGUCGGGAGUGAAAUCCACUGGCUUAACUGGUGGCUUGCUUUCGAUACGGGCAGACUGGAGGUAUGCAGGGGAGAACGGAAUUCCUGGUGUAGCGGUGAAAUGCGCAGAUAUCAGGAGGAACACCGGUGGCGAAGGCGGUUCUCUGGGCAUGUCCUGACGCUGAGGAGCGAAAGUGUGGGGAGCAAACAGG
rnacentral:rRNA from 1 species